rnacentral:rRNA from 1 species
CCUACGGGUGGCAGCAGUGGGGAAUAUUGGACAAUGGGGGCAACCCUGAUCCAGCCAUGCCGCGUGUGUGAAGAAGGCCCUCGGGUUGUAAAGCACUUUCAGUGAGGAAGAACGCCUGGUGGUUAAUACCCAUCAGGAAAGACAUCACUCACAGAAGAAGCACCGGCUAACUCCGUGCCAGCAGCCGCGGUAAUACGGAGGGUGCGAGCGUUAAUCGGAAUUACUGGGCGUAAAGCGCGCGUAGGUGGCUUGAUAAGCCGGUUGUGAAAGCCCCGGGCUCAACCUGGGAACGGCAUCCGGAACUGUCAAGCUAGAGUGCAGGAGAGGAAGGUAGAAUUCCCGGUGUAGCGGUGAAAUGCGUAGAGAUCGGGAGGAAUACCAGUGGCGAAGGCGGCCUGCUGGACUGACACUGACACUGAGGUGCGAAAGCGUGGGUAGCAAACAGGAUUAGAUACCCGAGUAGUC